UUCUGAUAGGGUGGGUUUUGUUGUUUGGUUUUACGUUAUUUGUAGUUUUUUUAUUGAUAUUCUGCUAACCUCUUUAACUAAAACGACACAUAUUAAACCAAACUACUGAUUUGUAAGAAUGUGAAUAUCAUGCGGUCACAUGAUAUUCACAUAAAUAACUGGUAAUUUAAGUAGUUUCCAUUGUGGGCAUCACAUUGCAACUCAAUUUAUGUCAAAAUAUGGAGACUAAUAAACGCAUAUUUUAAAAACAGCAUCUUAAGCAUAGACUCUGGAUCCCCCGCAACACUGAGUUGGAUGAAGCUGUGAGAAAAUGAACGGCUGGAUGUUGCUGCCAACAGGUUCAAUAGAAAGUGGGAAGAACUAACAAAAAUAAAGCAAUAACUCAAGUCAG